rnacentral:piRNA from 1 species
UUGAAGAAUUGGAAUAACUUCAGCAUUGAUU